UAGAAGCUUUAAAUACCUGCCUAUGACACAGGUAGCUGUCCACAUCUCAGUUUUGUUCCUUUGGUGUCUCCUGUUCUCAUUGUAAUAGUAUGAUCCUGCAGAGAACAACUGAUGGAGUGAGCUUUGUGCCUACCCUGGCUGCAUUGCUCCAGAGGGACACAAUGAUAUUCAUGGGAAACAGUCCUGUGUCCAAACUUGGCCAGAAACAUCUAUUCAAGCCCAGAAAUGUCGGUGUAUUCCCACAGGAAACAGAGGAGCCUCCAGAACAACAGGGAAAUUGCUAAUCAUACUUCAUCUAAGUGAAGUCUGGCUGUGAAUUACAACUAAGCACAAUGUGAUACUUCUGCAAGGGUGGUCUUUCUCAACAACACCAUCAAGAUCUCAUGCUCUUUCUCUGGUGCUUUGCUUUAGAACAGAAAUCCAGUGCAAUGUGCAUAUGAAGUUCUCUGAGAUGUCUGAAGUAGAUUCACUUAGAAACUGAGAGUAUGCAGAACAUGUGUGGUGCACAAGAUGCUGCUCAAGAACUUGUCUGAAUUCUGUGAGACCACAUAAUUCAUAGUGGAAGAACAUGCCUUUGAAAAUGAGCACCAUUGAGCUAGAGACAAUUUCUGUUGGGAAAAGUGCCAUAUAGUAUCGACAGUGACAACAAAUUGUAUUGUGCGCUGAACAUCUGUUUCCGACUCCCACACUGAUAUUGCAGGUUGGCUACUUCUGAUUUAGUCUUCACAGGCUGCCCAACCACAGAGGAACUGGAAAUUACUGGUUGCAGAAGUGGAAAAAAGACACUGAGAACAUCUACAGAAAAUUACAUCUUCACUUUCCCACCUGCACCAUAUUUCAUCACUUUCUUAGUUUUUCUUCAUUCCUUCUUAAAUCAGCCUUUUUGUUUCUUGUGCGGUUGCACUGAAAAUGUGCCUGUAGUGAUGCCAGUAGCAACAGCUUUCAGUCCCUAUUUCAAAAUGCCAAAUAAAGAACAUUUUGGGAAAAAUCUGAUGCAUGCCUUUCAACUUCCUUGACAGCAGUUGGAAAUGUUAGAGCAAGACUAGCUGGUGUUUCACCU